CGAAUCAAAUUUUUCUAAACGUUUCUCGACACUAAUGCAAGAAAGAGAGAGAAAGAGGAGAACUUGGAAUCUAGAGAACAUGGCCAAGAGUCAGUAAGGUAUCAGCCAUUGAAGACAAUACAGACUUUACUGCCAUGGAGGGAUUACUGAGCAAAGAUAUGGCUGAAAAAAAUCAUCAUGGUGGUCUGGUCUGAAAGGAGAAGAAGAG